AGGUGUCAGGUUGCGGUGUGGUCUGGUGGCUUUUGAGAGUCGAUCCGGAAACAUACAAAACGUAUGAUUUCCAUCGGAUUCGCCGUUGAAUUUGAUAUACGACCAAACUGGUGACACGCCGUGCAGCCAUGGCGCCCAAAUAUGACGGCUUGUCCCACUGCAAGCUGGCCCUGGUGUUUGCUGUGCUCAUGGACCUGUUGGGAGUGAUAUCUCUGCUACUGGGAGUCUUCGCUCCAUUGGAGAUUAAAGGCAGAGACUUUGGGGAUCUGCUGGUGUACUCAGGAGCUCUGCUGGUAGUAAUGUCCCUGGCAGGCUGGGUCAUGUGGUACAGCGGCAACAUUGAGGGUCUGACCUCCAAAAAGGCCUUUGGGAGAUCUGUCGAUGGAGCUAUGGACCGCCUUGCCCGCUCCCUCAGCCGCAGAAUACGAGUCCCCAGGACUCAUAGUAGCCCGACAUAGGAAGCGUGGCGCAAAGAUGCAACUAACCGACUGACUGUUGGACUAUUACACAAAGACCUGUUUCAACCAGGGCGCAGGCCAAACUGCCUGAGGCAAAAGGACUGUUGCUGUUGCUUGUCGUUGUCUUAACAAAUACCUCGGUCCCAUGAAGAAAUACCAAUUAAAUUCUUUGUCUACAUAUGGAAAACUGGGAUAAUUUGUAUCCACUCUGCUUAAGUAGUGUUAUGUGUACUACACUCAGGGUUGUAAUGUAAUAGGCUACAUUUUAAUAUAUGAAGAUUAAAAAGAUAAAUCUGCUGUU